rnacentral:rRNA from 1 species
UACGUAGGCAGCAAGCGUUGUUCGGAGUUACUGGGCGUAAAGGGUGUGUAGGCGGUUUUCUAAGUCUGGUGUGAAAUCUCCCGGCUCAACUGGGAGGGUGCGCCGAAAACUGGAAGGCUAGAGUGCGGGAUGGGAGAGUGGAAUUCCUGGUGUAGCGGUGAAAUGCGUAGAUAUCGGGAGGAACACCAGUGGCGAAGGCGACUACCUGGCCUGUUCUUGACGCUGAGGCGCGAAAGCUAGGGGAGCAAACGGG